UAGGGAAUUGUUCGCAAUGGGCGCAAGCCUGACGACGCAACGCCGCGUGGAGGAUGAAGGUCUUCGGAUUGUAAACUCCUGUCGUGUGGGACGAACAUCUACCGGGCUAAUCACCGGUGGACUGACGGUACCACGAAAGGAAGCCCCGGCUAACUCUGUGCCAGCAGCCGCGGUAAUACAGAGGGGGCGAGCGUUGUUCGGAAUUACUGGGCGUAAAGGGCGCGUAGGCGGCCUCUUAAGUCGAACGUGAAAUCCCUCGGCUCAACCGGGGAACUGCGUCCGAUACUGAUUGGCUUGAAUUCGGGAGAGGGAUGCGGAAUUCCAGGUGUAGCGGUGAAAUGCGUAGAUAUCUGGAGGAACACCGGUGGCGAAGGCGGCAUCCUGGACCGAUAUUGACGCUGAUGCGCGAAAGCCAGGGGAGCAAACGG
rnacentral:rRNA from 1 species